CCGGAGGGUCCGUCGCGCGUUCUUCCUGUAAAGGGCGUGAGGAAAGUCCGGGCAACACAGAGCACCAUAUUUCCUAACGGGAAGCUAUCGGUAACGGUAGAGUAAUGUGACAGAAAACGACCGCCCGCUCCGGCGGGUAAGGGUGAAAAGGCGAGGUAAGAGCUCACCGGGCGCGACGGCGACAUCGCGCGCCGCACAUCUUAUGGGUUGCAAGGUCAAGUAUACCGGCAUCUAAGGGCUGCUCGUCCAUUGCCGGGGGGUAGACUGCUCGCCGCUCCUCCGGGAGCCAGAUAAAUGACGGACGGUGCUGUGCAUCUCUCUUUAGGGAAAGUACACACGCCACAUAACCCGGCUUAUACUCCGACCG
rnacentral:RNase_P_RNA from 1 species